rnacentral:rRNA from 1 species
AUGGGGAAGGUAGGUCGGAAAGUGGCGGCGAGGGCGGCGGAGGGGAAAGCUAGUACGAUGGCGGAAGAGGAGGGGCUGGUGGUGCUGCGGAGCCAGGACGGCAUGGAUUUCCUGGUUCCCGCAGAGGAGGCGAGGCUGUCCAUGUUCGUACAUCGCAGGAUCGAGCUCGACCGCGACAACCACAUGGUCCCCGCCGACGGCGACGAGACCAAGUACACCCCCAUCUUGCUCCGCUCCAUCCGAGGCGACGUCCUAUCCAAGGUUUUGGAGUACUGCAGGAAGCAUGCCUCCGGCGACGACGACCCCGCCUGGGAUGCCAACUUCGCUAGUCUCCUCGACCAAGAGACUCUCUGCGACCUCAUCCUGGCUGCACACUCCCUCUGCAACCCAGGGUUGCUUGCUCUGACCUGCCAGGCUGUUGCCAAUAUGGUCAAGGGGAAGUCUGUUGAUGAGACCUAUAAGCUCUUCAACUUGGGUCAGGGCCGGGCGCUCACACGGGAGCAAAAUGCCUUGAAGGCCCGUCACGUAGUUCGCUGCCAGGAGUUUACUGCAUACGACCCCAAGCGGCGUGAUCUCAUCUGUACCCGCCUCUCCCACGACUAUUACAACAUAGCCUUCUUUGACCAUGACCAAGAGUCUAGGAUUGCCCGUGGGCCGCCACUUGGCAGUAUUGCAGGGUCUAUCUUGGAUUGGGGCGUACGAUCUUCGCUCAACAUCAUUUUGCUGAAGGUAUCGGAAUCUGAGGUGGGGUAUCCUUUCAGUGUGUUUGGGACCGUGAUUGCAAGGGAUGAGGUGGACUACAAGUGUCUCUAUCUGUUCAGGCGUGAAAAGAAAGACGCCCAAAUCAUCAAAUCGAUGGAUGAUAUGUUGAUUUUGACAGAUCCACCUCGAGGGUUGGUUUUGCUAGAUGAAGUUUUCUUUGAGAUUGAUUUAAAGAUCGAGCGCGAUGGAGGUGCAACUAUGGAUUUCAGCAAAGGUGUGAUAUCUCUUAUUAGGGCCCGCCUCCCUGUGGAUAGGCAGACCAUGACAGUCAACCUAUGCAGCUGGCUAAGCAGUGUGGAUGUGCUUUGUGAACAUGUUGAGCAACCGGUGGAAGCUACAGUUGGGAUUACUAGCUUGAAGGGGCCCUGCAAUCUGGGUGGAGUAUGUGUUUGGGCUGAUGGGAAUUAUGAGGAGCGCAUUAUACUCUACAGUAGCGAUUCAUGCCUCGCUGUUGGCGGCCCUGUGCCCUUGGCACGCCGUGUGGUGGCCGUCCCGAUGGGUAAGAAGUUGGUAAUCCGUCUUAGAGGUCUUACAGAUGAAUCUGACUAUGUCGCUGGUCUUACCAAGGAAGGUGAGGAGGGCGAGGAUGUUGUUAUCACUAUGGGGCCUUCCGAUGAAGGUAGUUGUGUUUGCAGCAUGGGAUGGGGUGAAGUGCAGGUGCAAGUCGCCUGGACUGGUAUCCUGAAGAGAGAGGAAUACAAGAUGGAUGUUGUUGGAGAUGUGAGUCUGUUGCGGUAA